rnacentral:rRNA from 1 species
GUUUUCGGAUCGUAAAACUCUGUUGUGAGGGAAGAACAAGUACCAACUAACUACUGGUACCUUGACGGUACCUCACCAGAAAGCCACGGCUAACUACGUGCCAGCAGCCGCGGUAAUACGUAGGUGGCAAGCGUUGUCCGGAAUUAUUGGGCGUAAAGCGCGCGCAGGCGGUCCUUUAAGUCUGAUGUGAAAGCCCACGGCUCAACCGUGGAGGGUCAUUGGAAACUGGAGGACUUGAGUGCAGAAGAGGAAAGUGGAAUUCCAUGUGUAGCGGUGAAAUGCGUAGAGAUGUGGAGGAACACCAGUGGCGAAGGCGACUUUCUGGUCUGUAACUGACGCUGAGGCGCGAAAGCGUGGGGAGCAAACAGGAUUAGAUACCCUGGUAGUCCACGCCGUAAACGAUGAGUGCUAAGUGUUAGGGGGUUUCCGCCCCUUAGUGCUGCAGCUAACGCAUUAAGCACUCCGCCUGGGGAGUACGGCCGCAAGGCUGAAACUCAAAGGAAAUUGAC